GGUUAGCUCAGUUGGUUACAGCAUGGUGCUGACAGAACGUCAAGGUUGCAGGUUCGAUCCCCCCAUGGGACA